CGCCGCCCACAACCCUCGGCCUCUCCCCGGCGCAACGCGCAGCUGCGACCCGUCCUCUCUUUGGACCCGCCUCCGAAGGACGUCACUUCCUGGACGAGUGUUUCCGGGUCAUCGCUUGUCCCGGGGUACUGGCGUCGGUACCCUGCAGCCGGCCGGGGCGACGAGAGCCCAGGCGGGCCAGGCUCCGGCGGCGGCCGCGGCUCCCUCUGGAUUUCCUCGGCCCGGGAGUCCUCGGCGACAGUGCCGGGAGCGCGCCCCUAGUGCGGGUGGGCACCAUGUCAGUGCUUUUAGCCAUGGCCCUGCCUCGAACCCAGAAACCAUGGAGGAGAUAAGGUAGCCCCUCCCCGUCUCUGGAUCAGAUGGGGAAGCCCAGUUCAAUGGAUACGAAGUAUAAGGAUGACUUAUUUCGGAAGUACGUGCAGUUCCAUGAGGGCAGAGUGGACACCACCCCCAGCAAGCCGCGGCCUGGCAGUGAUGAGUACCUUCGAGUGGCAGCCUCGGCCCUGCUCAGCCUACACAAGGUGGAUCCCUUCUAUCGAUUCCGGCUGAUCCAGUUCUAUGAGGUGGUGGAGAGUUCCCUGCGCUCGCUCAGCUCCUGCAGCCUGCGGGCUUUGCACUGCGCCUUCAGCGUGCUGGAAACGGUGGGCAUCAACCUCUUCCUCUACCCGUGGAAGAAGGAAUUCAGGAGCAUCAAGACCUACACGGGCCCCUUCGUUUAUUAUGUCAAGUCAUCGUUACUGGAAGAGGACAUCCGAGCCAUCCUGCAUUACAUGGGCUACGUGCCUGAGUUAGGGACUGCGUACAGACUCAAGGAGCUCGUGGAGACCCUCCAGGUGAAGAUGGUCUCCUUUGAGCUCUUUCUGGCCAAGGUGGAGUGUGAGCAGAUGCUGGAAAUCCACUCACAAGUCAAGGACAAGGGCUACUCUGAGCUGGACGUGGUGAACGAGCGCAAAAGCAGCACGGAGGAUGUGCGCGGCUGCUCGGAGGCCCUGCGGCGGCGGGCCGAGGGCCGGGAGCACCUGACGGCCUCCAUGGCCCGCGUGGCGCUGCAGAAGUCAGCCAGCGAGCGGGCAGCCAAGGACUACUACAAGCCGAGGGUGACCAAGCCCUCGAGGUCGGUAGAUGCCUACGACAGCUACUGGGAGAGCCGGAAGCCACCCCUGAAGGCCUCGCUGAGCCUGCGGAAGGAGCCCGCGGCACCAGACGUGGGGGACGACCUCAAGGAUGAGAUCAUUCGCCCGUCUGCCUCGCUGCUGACCAUGUCCAGCUCACCCCACGGAAGCCCGGAUGACCUGCCGUCCCCUUCCCCCAGCAACGGCCUCAGCCUGCUGCGUGGCACAUACUUCUCCGCUCAGGACGACGUGGAUCUGUAUACAGACUCGGAGCCCAGGGCCGCAUACCGGAGGCAGGACGCCCUGCGGCCGGACGUGUGGCUGGUCCGAAACGAUGCCCACCCCGUCUACCACAAGCGCUCACCCCCCGCCAAAGAGUCCUCCCUGUCCAAGUGCCAAAACUGUGGGCUGUCCUGCAACUCCUCCCUCUGCCAGCGCUGUGACAGCCUGCUCACCGGUCCCCCAGCCCCCAAGCCCGGCGCGUUCUCCGGCAAGCCCUCCGCCCACGACAGCCUGGCCCACGGGUCGUCUCUGCGGGAGAAGUACGCUGGCCAGACCCAGGGCCUCGAGCGGCUGCCGCACCUCCACCCAAAACCCAAGACCCCCACCACAGCCACCUCCCGCUGUGGCUUCUGCAACCGCCCGGGUGCCACCAACACCUGCACCCAGUGUUCGAAAGUCUCCUGCGACGGCUGUCUCAGCGCCUACCAUUACGACCCCUGCUGCAAAAAGAAUGAGCUGCACAAGUUCAUGCCCAACCACCAGCUGAACUACAAGUCCACCCAGCUCUCCCAUCUCGUGUACAGAUAGACUGGACCUUGCACCCCCUGCUCCAAGGGCUACGCCACUGACUUUCUGGUUCCCCGCUCCGGGGAAGAAGUGUUAGUGUGUUGAUCUCAGAAGCAGAGACCUGCAUCUGACCAUAAGUGUCGAUGCCUGUUUUACUCCUGAGAGCACUAGUUUGCUAGUUUUCCGUUCCCAGAUCGCUCCAGCCUACGGGAACUCUACCAACCGUGAUGCCAGGUCACUUGUGCCCCCCGUGGGCAGAAGCAGGAGUGCCCACCUCAUCCUGGGAGAGAAGGUCUGGCGCACAUGUCAUCACGGAGAUGCUGUGUUCACAGACUGGAACAGAAAACGCUCUGCCCCUGCCCUUGGUGUGUACCUUAUUGUAUGAGGUUGCUGUGAUUGAGCUGGAUAAAAUAUAUGCUAAUUUAAAAAGGCAGAUGUUUUACAUUUGAUUUCUAAGAAUUGAAAUGUUGAGAGAUGAUUUAAAAAAUAAUAAAGUGUCUUCCAUUAUUAAA